AGUGCGCGCNNNNNNNNNNNNNNNNNNNNNNNNNNNNNNCGGAGGUUGGGGGUCCCCCGGGGGCGGCCCGUAUCCCGGCUUCCUCAGGGAGCGGACCGAGAGCCCGGGCGAGAGCGCGGGCCGCGCGAGGAGCCUCCUGUCCCGGGCUCCCGGAGCAGGAUUGAGGAGGAACCGGGACGAUGGCGGCUCCCUCUCCGGCGUCAUUUCAGUUUUCUACCGAUGCUGUGAUGCCAAAGACGACGCGUCAAAGAUGCUGUAGAAGAGGUUUGGGAUUAAGGCGAAGGUGGCCCCAGAGUAGUCCUCUGUUGCCCUUCAACUCCAGGAUUGCAUGCAAAUCAAGAAACAAACAUGAUGCUGGGAAAGAAGUCGAAAGGCAGGAGAGAAACCCGUAGGCUACUGCUGGUGAAGAGUCAGCUGAUGAUGGUCAGUGAGAAAAUUCCUCGCUAUCAAGUUCUCAUCAACAAGUCAGACGGAAUUAGGAUAUCCUCGACCUACAUUCCUGAGGAGGACAUAACAAUAAUUAUGGGAUAUGAAGUACAGCGUCUUAAGUUACAAACUAUUUUUCCAGGUCUUGUUUAUUUACGUUGAACUAAAAUUAACUGUCCAUUAAGAACACUGAUACUUAAAAAUAAGGUAUACUGCUACUAUAAAAAAAUGUAAUCUUUACCAUGUAACUGAAUAGAAUCCUAAAUUUUAUCAGUAAUAUUAAGAAAAUUUAUUUAAUAGUAUUUCCUUUUACAAUGGUGCUUGGAGUGUAGUUGGUCUGUUUCAGAUAUUCAAAUGGGAAUUUUUUUUUUUCUUUCAGAAAACAGCAAUUAUAAUUUGCUGCUUUCUCGAAAGAUUUUUUUAAAAGGGGGUUCAGAAGAAAGAAAUCUCGUCAGGGUUAGUGGCUUAUUCUAGCAGGCUUUUGGCACAGGUCCCCUGACUCAUUUUGAGACUCCAGUAUAUGCCAUGUGUCAGAAAUUAAACUGCCACCAAUGACAACUAAAUGUGAUACCCUUAGUCUGAGCACAUGAGAUGUCAUACAGAAACCAGUCCAAUCUUUGAUUUCUUUUCUCUUAGCAACUCUACAGAAUUGCAGGACUGCCCAAUUUACAGACUUUUUUUUUUUUUUAAAACACCAUCUUUAAAAAUUCCUGUAAAUUCUAAGAAGUGUUUGGUAACUUAAAAUUUGUUUUUAGGUAUUUCAUGCUAAGCUGAAAACUUUCUUUACCAAAUAUGAAACCAAAAUAUAAUGAAGUUACAGCUAAGAAAAAUCUACCCACAUAAUUAAAUUUUUAUUAAGUAAUUUUUUUCUUGAUGUUCAGCCCCGAUAUACUUUUCUAUCCAACUGGAUAAAUAAAAGCUACAAUAUAUUUAGCUCUUUUUUUUGG
rnacentral:lncRNA from 1 species